rnacentral:rRNA from 1 species
CCUACGGGCGGCUGCAGUAAGGAAUAUUGGUCAAUGGACGAAAGUCUGAACCAGCCAUCCCGCGUGCAGGAUGAAAGCCCUAUGGGUUGUACACUGCUUUUAGCAGAGAAGAAAAGCUUUCAUUAAUGAGAGUCUGACGGUAUCUGCAGAAUAAGCACCGGCUAACUCCGUGCCAGCAGCCGCGGUAAUACGGAGGGUGCGAGAAUUAUCCGGAUUAAAGGGGGCGAAGGGGUAGGAAGAAGUCAGAGGAGAAAUCUUGUCGCUUAACGAGAAAAUUGCCAAUGAUACUGGUACUCUUGAAUUGGGUUGAGGUUAGCGGAAUGUGACAUGUAGCGGUGAAAUGCAUAGAUAUGUCAUGGAACACCAAUUGCGAAGGCAGCUAACUGGGCCUUGAUUGACGCUGAGGCACGAAAGCGUGGGUAGCGAACAGGAUUAGAUACCCUGGUAGUC